rnacentral:rRNA from 1 species
GACGAACGCUGGCGGCGUGCUUAACACAUGCAAGUCGAGCGGUAAGGCCCUUUCGGGGGUACACGAGCGGCGAACGGGUGAGUAACACGUGGGUGACCUGCCCUCAGCUCUGGGAUAAGCCUGGGAAACUGGGUCUAAUACUGGAUAUGACUCCACGGUGCAUGUCGUGGGGUGGAAAGCCUUGUGCGGCUGAGGAUGGGCCCGCGGCCUAUCAGCUUGUUGGUGGGGNGAUGGCCUACCAAGCGACGACGGGUAGCCGGCCUGAGAGGGCGACCGGCCACACUGGGACUGAGACACGGCCCAGACUCCUACGGGAGGCAGCAGUGGGGAAUCUUGCGCAAUGGGCGAAAGCCUGACGCAGCGACGCCG